GCUCAAUGGUUGAGCACAAGAUUAGGGAUCUUGCUGUGCGGGUUCGAAUCCCGC
rnacentral:tRNA from 1 species